GUCUAUGGCCAUACCACUCCGAACAUGCCCAGUCUCAUCUCAUCUUGGAAGCUAAGCAAGGUCAGGCCUGGGAAUUCUGGAUCCUGUAGGCU
ensembl:rRNA 5S_rRNA 5S ribosomal RNA